ACCUGGGUGGCUCAAUCGGUUAAGCCUCUGACUUCAGCUCAGGUCAUGAUCUCACAGUUCGUGGGUUCAAGCCCCACAUCGGGCU
rfam:Felis catus isolate Cinnamon breed Abyssinian chromosome D4, whole genome shotgun sequence.